AACGAACGCUGGCGGCAGGCUUAACACAUGCAAGUCGAACGCAUCCUUCGGGGUGAGUGGCAGACGGGUGAGUAACGCGUGGGAACGUGCCCUUCAGUUCGGGAUAACCCAGGGAAACUUGGGCUAAUACCGGAUACGUGCGAGAGCAGAAAGAUUUAUCGCUGAAGGAUCGGCCCGCGUCUGAUUAGCUAGUUGGUGGGGUAAUGGCCCACCAAGGCGACGAUCAGUAGCUGGUCUGAGAGGAUGAUCAGCCACAUUGGGACUGAGACACGGCCCAAACUCCUACGGGAGGCAGCAGUGGGGAAUAUUGGACAAUGGGCGCAAGCCUGAUCCAGCCGUGCCGCGUGAGUGAUGAAGGCCUUAGGGUUGUAAAGCUCUUUCGUCCGGGACGAUAAUGACGGUACCGGAAGAAGAAGCCCCGGCUAACUUCGUGCCAGCAGCCGCGGUAAGAC
rnacentral:rRNA from 1 species